rnacentral:rRNA from 1 species
UGGGAACCUUCCCUAUGGUUCGGAAUAGCUCAGGGAAACUUGGGGUAAUACCGGAUAAGCCCUUCGGGGGAAAGAUUUAUCGCCAUUGGAUGGGCCCGCGUCGGAUUAGCUAGUUGGUGAGGUAACGGCUCACCAAGGCAACGAUCCGUAGCUGGUCUGAGAGGAUGAUCAGCCACACUGGGACUGAGACACGGCCCAGACUCCUACGGGAGCAG